GCUGUUUAGUGAUCGCAUGGUCUUCUGGGAAGCUUUCGCGGUAUGGGAUGGGGUCGCGUCCUAUCAGCUUGAUAGUUGGGUAACGGCCCACCGUGGCUUCGACGGGUAGCCGGCCUGAGAGGGCGACCGGCCACAUUGGGACUGAGAUACGGCCCAGACUCCUACGGGAGGCAGCAGUGGGGAAUAUUGCACAAUGGGCGCAAGCCUGAUGCAGCGACGCCGCGUGAGGGAUGGAGGCCUUCGGGUUGUAAACCUCUUUUAUCGGGGAGCAAGCGAGAGUGAGUUUACCCGUUGAAUAAGCACCGGCUAACUACGUGCCAGCAGCCGCGGUAAUACGUAGGGUGCAAGCGUUAUCCGGAAUUAUUGGGCGUAAAGGGCUCGUAGGCGGUUCGUCGCGUCCGGUGUGAAAGUCCAUCGCUUAACGGUGGAUCCGCGCCGGGUACGGGCGGGCUUGAGUGCGGUAGGGGAGACUGGAAUUCCCGGUGUAACGGUGGAAUGUGUAGAUAUCGGGAAGAACACCA
rnacentral:rRNA from 1 species